GUAGGUGAACCUGCGGAAGGAUCAUUAAAACGUUCCAAACGUAUAAACCAAUCGUGAACUUAUCACCCUUUGAGGUAAAGAAGUCAAAUUGGCAGGCUGCCGUCUUUGUGAUGGAUGCAGUCUGUUGCGGGUCAAACCGCCUUUACUUUGAAGCGGUCUAUCAUCACUACUUAAACUUACUAAACCCUUUAACUUCUUAUGAACUGACUUGUUGUUUAUUGGGCUUCGGCUCAACGUAACAAUCUUUACG
rnacentral:misc_RNA from 1 species